CCUACGGGGGGCAGCAGUGAGGAAUAUUGGUCAAUGGGCGUAAGCCUGAACCAGCCAAGUCGCGUGAGGGAUGAAGGUUCUAUGGAUCGUAAACCUCUUUUAUAAUGGAGUAAAGUGUGGGACGUGUCCUAUUUUGUAUGUACCUUAUGAAUAAGGAUCGGCUAACUCCGUUCCAGCAGCCGCGGUAAGACGGAGGAUCCGAGCGUUAUCCGGAUUUAUUGGGUGUAAAGGGUGCGUAGGCGGCCUUUUAAGGCAGCGGUGAAAUUCUGUGGCUCAACCAUAGAAUUGCCGUUGAAACUGGGGGGCUUGAGUAUGUUUGAGGCAGGCGGAAUGCGUGGUGUAGCGGUGAAAUGCUUAGAUAUCACGCAGAACCCCGAGUGCGAAGGCAGCCUGCCAAGCCAUGACUGACGCUGAUGCACGAAAGCGUGGGGAUCAAACAGGAUUAGAUACCCCAGUAGUC
rnacentral:rRNA from 1 species